rnacentral:rRNA from 1 species
UACAGAGGGGGCAAGCGUUAUUCGGAAUUAUUGGGCGUAAAGGGCGCGUAGGCGGCCUGGCAAGUGGAAGGUGAAAUCCUUCGGCUUAACCGAGGAACUGCCCUCCAAACUGCUUGGCUUGAGUCCGGGAGAGGUGAGUGGAAUUCCCAGUGUAGCGGUGAAAUGCGUAGAUAUCGGGAGGAACACCUAUGGCGAAGGCAGCUCGCUGGGACGUUACUGACGCUGAGACGCGAAAGCGUGGGGAGCGAACAGG